CGAUAUCAAUAAGCGGAGGAAAAGAAAAUAACAAUGAUUCCCUUAGUAACGGCGAGCGAAGAGGGAAUAGCUCAAAUUUUAAAUCUGUUGGGUUUUACCUAACCGAGUUGUAAUUUGAAGAAGCGUUUUCUGCGUGUUUGAUUUAGCCCAAAUCCUUUGGGAUAGGGAAUCAUGGAGGGUGAGAAUCCCGUCCGGCCUAAUCAAAUGUGCUUUACGAUACGUUUUCUAAGAGUCGAGUUGUUUGGGAUUGCAGCUCAAAAUGGGAGGUAAAUUUCUCCUAAGGCUAAAUAUAGGCGAGAGACCGAUAGCGAACAAGUACCGUGAGGGAAAGAUGAAAAGAACUUUGAAAAGAGAGUUAAACAGUACGUGAAAUUGUUGAAAGGGAAACGAUUAAAGUCAGUCGUACUAACGGGGAAUCAACCUUUUGAGGGUGGACUUGUGGGAUUCAGAGAGCCUUUGUCUUUCACAACCUGCUUUUUUUGGGUGCAAUUUGUCGUAUUGUAGGUCAGCAUCGGUUUCGACCGUUAUAAAAUGACUGGAGGAAUGUAGCUUCGAUCUCGUAUUGAAGUGUUAUAGCCUUUGGUAGAUGUAACGGAUGGGAUCGAGGAUUGCAACGAAUACCCUCAUGGGCUAUCCGUCUGAUCUCUGAAAGUUGCUUAGGUGCCGAAAGCAUGCUUACGGUUAUUUAAGUUGACGGUCAAAAGGUUAGAACGGAUUAAAUUCGUUAAGGAUGUUGACGUA
rnacentral:rRNA from 1 species